UACGUAGGUGGCAAGCGUUGUCCGGAUUUAUUGGGUUUAAAGGGUGCGUAGGUGGCUUUGUAAGUCAGCGGUGAAACUCUGGAGCUUAACUCCAGACCGGCCAUUGAUACUGCAGAGCUUGAGUUCGAACGAGGUAGGCGGAAUUGACGAUGUAGCGGUGAAAUGCAUAGAUAUCGUCAAGAACACCAAUAGCGAAGGCAGCUUACUAGAACGACACUGACACUGAGGCACGAAAGCGUGGGUAGCAAACAGG
rnacentral:rRNA from 1 species